AUGAACAGUUUUGCCGAUCAUUUUAUCCCUAGGUAAUCGAUCCUUACAGUUCCUUCCUUCCACCGUUCCUUAUCCAGACCUUCUGUUUUUUUCCUCUGCUUCCCGAUCCUUCCACUCUUCCACACACAAAUCAAACUCAUAGGAGUUCCGACUUGUCGAUUCCUCUAUUAUACCAUCGAAGAGUGCAGUCGAUCGGUCGCUGAGUUCGCUUCUAUCGCUCCGCCAUAGCCGACGCCUUUGCUUUUUGUUUCAGUUUUCGCCGUAUCCAUCUUCUCCAUUUUCUUUCUUCUCUUCGUUUGUGUGCUUGCAAGUAAAAUCUUCGGUUUGUGUUUAGUUUUGUUUGGUUCGUUCGGUUCCUGCUGUUUUUUUUUUGCCCCCUAAGGCGGUGACGAAAGGAGUUCACUCCAAUAUUCCAAUGACGGAAGAGUCGGCACAGGUGGAGAAGCAACACAAGAAAACGCUGACAGAGGCCAACGCCACCGCCGUCGUUUUUUUACCUCGAUCACUACCACCAUCAGCCGACUCAUCUGGACCUUAGAUUAGGGCUUGAUGAAGACCAUCGCUCCCACCGGACUCACUCAAACGAGAAUGGAGGAAGAUUCCUUUCUGACCACCGCCUCAUCUGGACCUGAUAUUAGGGCUUGAUGAAGACGAUUGCAGACAAGAAUCACUGUUGGGUUAGUUUGAUUCCUUUCUCACCAGUCUCACCAGUGGAGAAGAACCUGUCGACAGACCUCUGACUUUGAUGGAUGCCUAAAAAUCAUAAUAUUUGAUAGUUGUAUUGGAGUAAUGAUGAAAAAUUAUUGGUAGAGCUUAUUCAAACAUAAGCUUUUCAAUCAUGACAAGCCUAAUACCAAACACUUGGAGAAACAGAACGAACUUCUCAUGGAUGCUUAUAGAUCAAUGUCACAUGCAUUACAUAAACUUCAGGUGAUGCAUUCUUAUGUUCAUCUUUAUUUUUAUAUUAAUAAAGAUUAAAAAGAUGUUUAGUUUUUAUAAUUGGAUUCCAUUCCAUCUUCUAUUACAAACGGCCGAUUGUUACUCCUUCGGAAGUCCUUUUAGAUUAUGAUUCUUAACAUAAAUUGUUGAAGGGUAAAAUUGGUAUUUUGAAGAAAAAAAACUUGGAAAAUAAAUUAUAGGAAUAUUAAUCAAUUGUAAUCUUUUUUUAACUUAUUUUGUUAACUUAUAAGUUACAUGUAUAAUAAAGUAGUUGAAUACUAGGCUUAGGAAUUGGGACGAGGCUUGAAAAUGGUUAACUCCAUGAUGGAACAUUCUAAGAGAUAAAGGCUUAAGCCGAAGAUUCAAAAUGGUACUAUUUUUAACUUUCUUUAUUUGUGUUUAUAUCUUUUUGUGAUUUGAUUAUAUAUUUAUUCUUACAAGAAUCAAAGUUACGGUUUUAAAAAUAGAAGUGAUAGUUUGUUAUUAUUUCAUGUCUUUUUUAGUUUAAUGGUAUUUUUAAAACAUUUUGCAUAGUUUUUAUUAUGUUGUAGCCACAAUAUUAUGUAAAAACUGAAAUUUAACGACUAAAAUUGUUAUAUUGAAGAGUAAUCUACAAUCCGAAGUUCAUGCGUCAAGAACAUCGUUUGGGUACGUUUCAACCCUAGAAUUUUCCAAUUUCAAGCUUUAUUCAUUUUAGUUUUCUGUUUCCUUUUUUUAUCCAUACAGCUGCGGGUUUACAAGGCUCCUGAGUUGGAAAUAUCUAAAAUUUUGUUGUAAGUUUUUUUUAUGUUUGAAUAGGUUUUUGGAAUGUUGACGUGGCAAUAUCAACAAGUCAUUAUAAAACAUCUUGCAUUGGAGAUGCUUUUGGUGUUGUUUGCUUGAAAUUUAUUGAUUGAAAUGCUUGAAAAUUUGACUAAUUUUAUUUCAAUUUUGUUCUUCAAACAUCCGUCUUCUUCAGUAAUCAUUUCUGCACUUAGAAGUGUUGGGAAUAUUGUUACAAGCGAUGAUCACCAAACUCAGGUACAAAUUCUACAUACUUUCCCCAUUAAGUCCUAACUCUUUACAAAUUUUCCCUCGAUUUUUUUUCCACUUCCCCCAAAUGUGAUGCCAUUUUCACAAAUAUCUUUUUAAAAUCGUUUAUCCAGACAACCCUUAUGGGAAAGAAAGAAAGAAACAGGUCUCUGUUGGACCUCCUUUGAGAUUCAUGUAUUCUAGAAUGUCAAAGUAGGAAAAGUCAAAGUCAAGCAGAAUUUGGGUUUAAUAAGUGGUUUUGAGGGAGUCUAUUUUGUUAGAUGAAAUUAGUCAGAAAAGGUUGUUAAGAGAGUGUAUUAAUCAGUGAAAGAAAACAAUGAGAAGUAAUUUGUCUAAAAUUAUAAAUAACCCUUUUCUUUUUCUUAUCUCUAAAAUUUAUAGUUAUUGAUUUGUGAUGUUCAUUUUCAUA